GAGGGGACCUAGAUUUUAAAAAUCGUUUGUGCUUUUGAAAUCUUAGUGAAACUAAGCGUUUUCAAUCCAUAAAAAUUUUAACUAACACAUAAAAUUCAUUCAAAUCUCUUAAAACCUUAAAAAUGAUAGACUUCUAUUUUGCCCAUACAAAAGAAAGCAAUAGUGAAAUUUUAACUGAUAAAUAUUAAGAUGCUUUCUUCUUUAAGGAUUGUAGUUUCAAAUGUUUUUACACUAAAAACCAACUGACAGAUCUUUUAUGAAUAUUUGGAAAAUCAUCCUUCGCUUUUUUGCAGCCCAGAAAAGAAGCAAAAAGAAUCAUAAUAUGCAUUUUAUGUGGUGAUAUAAAAGAGUCCCAUGGUAAGAGCAGACGGAAAAUGGUAUAGUUAUUAUUAAUUUAGAAAAACAAAAGAGCAGCCCAGCAUUUCAGUAAUGUGGCAAGUUGUGUGCUCUUGAAGGAGAGAGGGUUUUAUAAUUGGAUUUUAGAGUAAUUUAGAAGACGAGAUAAGAUGUAAUGGUUGAGUAUUAGAGGUUAGAACUACAAGAGAAACCCAUAAUGUAAGGGUUCACUGCACUGGGGGACAACAGAACAAAGAGAAGCAGCGCCAACCGAAAACGGCCCCAGUGAGAAGCAACAAGUUGUCUCUGAAAAUGUCUCCUCAUCUGCCUUUGAGUGGUAUGGAAUCACUGCUGAGCCUCCACUAUUGGUGCCAUCAAAGACCUCAGUGAUGCCAAGAUUAAAGGCUGGAUGGUGAUGAGCAGAUUUCAUCUUUCUGCCAAGAACAGAUUGACCCUGAGCAAGGAUAAAAAGGCCAGCCAUAAGGAGACAUGACAAAUACCAUUGAGUACUGCAGAGCAACUUGGCAGCUGCCCGAGGUAGAGCAUCUUGUUUACAUCACCACGCCAAGCCAGGAAGCAGAGUGAGGCUUUAGUCCCUGAGGCAUUAAGUCCUCACCCUGAUACCCCAAUCCAGGUCUAGCCACCUCUCUCCAGACAUAGUCCUGAGCAUAACAGCUGUGGAGAUCAGUUGCCUUUUCUGCGAAAUUGUCAUUAAACCAUGAGUAAUUUGGCACUAUUUUCUGCAUGAUUUGUCCUCUCUGAAAAUAAGCAGACUCAGGCUUGUGAAAAUGGAAAUUGAUUUACUUUCUAUCCUUCUUGAGCUCAUCUAUUUAAGGUCUACUUCUUCUGGGAUGUGCCAGGAGACUGCACUACUUUCAAGUGGUGGAAAUUUCUUAAAAAAAAAAAAAUAAAAAUAAGCUGAAGGAAACUUGGAAUGAGAAUGCACUUGGCUAAUUGGUUUGCCAUCUAGCACUACCUCUUUCUCUAAGCAGGGAGAAUCAAGCCGCUGUCUGCUUGAUGGGGCAGUGGCAGCCUCGUGUAACCUCUGUAGUUAUCUUCUGACUACUCAGCUGAAUCCACUGCAUUCUACAUAUCUUUCUUAUUUAACGUAGAGUAUGCAUUUAAAAAUAAUAUUUCUGUAAACCUUAUCAAGCAAAACAUGGCAUGACUCGAUGCCAAAUUAUAGUGAUGAUUAUUUUAAGAAGAAUCACAGCGCUUUGGCCCAGUUUUUGGAAAAUGUGAUUAAUAGCACUGCCAGUGCCUUCUAGUGAGCCAGCACCACAAACUAGCUAUUUGAUUUCAUAACACAGUGCUGUUGUGAUCACCAAAGCAACACUAUCCGUUUAGGUGCUGGAUUAGAAUCCAGGCGAGUCCGCAGUAUAGUCUUUACACUUCAUCAACUUCCACACAGGACAUAAAUUGUACUAAUAUAGUAAUAUACUGAAAUCUCAGACCAACUGUUUGUCAUCGGAUUAGAAUGUGAUGACACAGAAUAAAGAUGUGAGACAGAAUCUGUGCUGAGGUCUAAAUUCACAUUGGAAGUCUGGGAAGAGAAGACUGUUUAUAAAAUUAUAGCCCAGGAAUUGCUGCCAAAGUCGGCCUUUGGUGCAGCUGUAAGUCGGAUGGAAUCCACCUUCCUGACGUCAGACCCACCCACUGGAACACUGCUCCUCUGACUGGGGCUUCCCUGAAUGGAAACUACAUGUCAUACUGCAAAAACAACUUCUGAAAGAGAAAAAAGUCUUUGUCUCAGUUUCUGCUCUCCAGAGGUAACCCAAAGAGGUAAGGAACCCAGUGAGAAAGACAGAGAGAAGUAUGGACAAGAAACAGAUCCUAAACCUGUUUUGUUUUAUUUUUGGUAGUAGUUGUUUAUUUUUGAAAACAUUCAAACCACCUGUAUUGGUGGCUGUUAUUAUGAAAUAAAUAAACUGAGAAACAACAAGACAAUUUGGCCUCUACAAUUUGUUUAGUUUUGACUAAGUAUUUGCCUUGGAAGAAGUAUGUGUACAAUACUCAUUUUUAAAAGAUGCAACAGUCACCUCGUUACUUGGAGUUUUACUUGAGACUUGAAUGGACUGAAACCACCUGGUCACCACUAGAAGCUACAUCAAGGAAAAGAAAGGCAACAUAUUGAAUCUCUUGGGAGAAACUCAUCCUGUAUCUGCUCGAUUGAAAACAUGAAGGUGCACAUUCCAAGCUGCAUAUGCUCAGGUCCGAGUUUCCAAGGAAACAAGGGACUGCUCAUCUAUCUGCAAAACUGAACUGACGAGUCACUUUCAGCUUGUUACAAACCUUGAUUCUGAAUCAAAUUCUAGUGUGCAGUCUAAAAAUUCUCACUGCCUUGUCAUUUCUGCCGAGCAAACCCCUGAUGCUAUGAGGCUGGCAGUUGGGCAGGGAUUUUCCUGGGUUGUGCACUCUAAUUUUUUCCUCUGCACUGUUAGUGAAAUACUGUCAUUGAGAACCAGCUCCACACUGCACCUAUGUGAGAAAGGCCUUGGUUUCUAUCAGUAAAGUCAGACAGGGCUAUGUGCAUUUGGGAUGCCCUGGUCAACCAUACAGGAGGAAGCACAGUGGUCUUCCCAGCUCUCACAGUGGCCACCAGCUCUCAGGCUCACAAACUAGGCAAAGCAAAGAGCAACAGAACAACCUACUUCCCAACUUUCAUUAGUCACUCAAAUCCAAGUGGGUGAUCGUAUUUCUGAAGGUCUUGAAUACAGGACUUCCUGACCAUUCUUUAGCAUUUACUGAUGAAAGUAUUUCAGAUGUGUUAUGUUGUUUGGCAUGUGUUAUGUUGUUUGGCAAUCACAGUAAGUGUUGAGAUAGAUACUAUGAUUAUCUUCAUUCUCUAGGAACAGGCACAGAGAGGUUAAGUAAUUUCCCAAAGGUCACACAGUUUGUAAGUGAUAAAACUGAUUUGAAGCCAAACUAUGUCACCCCAAACUCAUAUUUUUAACACUUUAUUCCAUCUUCUAAAAGGCUGGCUAUUCUAUUUUUCUCUAAGUUUCAAAUUAGUAUGCCCAUUCCCUUGUUCAUUCAUUCAUUCAUCCAACAAACAUGUGUCAGGCAUCUAUGCCAGGCUCUGUGGAUAUAGUAUAAUAACAAACAAGACAGAUAAGAUUUCUCAGGGAGCUUACGUUUUGUAGAGGAGACUAAAUAAAUAAGCAAGCACAAACAAUGUAGAGUUUGUAAUAUUACCUAUCCCAGCAAAGGAAACCAACACUAGUGUGAGAAAAUUAAAUUAUAAAAGACCCUAACAUUUUCAAGAUACUGAAGGGGAUGAGAUGAAGCAGAGGUAGAGUGGGGCUGGAUUAUGCUGAAACACAUAGAACAGACUGGAUUCUAUUUUAAGUGAGGUGAUAAAUUCUUAAGGGUUUGUCAUUUUUGAGGUAGAACUGUCUUUUGUUCCUAUUGUAAAGAAACUACAUAGGUAGGCAUAAAAUACACCUGUAUGCCAGAGAUAGAAAAAUUCAUAUAAUUCCCAACUCCAAUUCUAUUUCUCUAGGAUAAUUUUAAUUGUGUAUAUGAAACAUAUCUCAAUGUUCUUGAAAGACUGAAAUCCACUCUUUUUAUUAUUUAUUGACUUAUUGAUUUGUGGUUAAGGAAAAAGUAGACUGAAGUAAAAAUAAAGAGUGCAGGAGUAUAAUUGCACAAGAAGUGGGAGGGAGACUUGUUGAACAGGCAACAGCCUAAAGUGAGUAUCCAUGAGUGGGCUCAGUAUGACCCUGCAGCUCCCCCAUCACACUUGCACCCACCUCAAGGAAUCCAGUUCACCUCUAUGGAAAAUCCCUGGGCUCCACGGGACAGAGUCUUGUUUUGUUUUACAUCUGUGUGUCCAUGCCUAGCCAGUAUCUUGUUUAGUGCAGCCUUUCCAUAAUAUUUGUGGAGAGAAAGAAAAAUGAAAGGAAGAAGAGAGGGAGGGGAAAAAGAAAGUGAGAGGAAAGAAGAAAGGUAAAAAGGAAGUAGCACUCUUGGUUUUGCUUCUCCUUGGCUGUUUCGUUAUUCUCAGUACUCCCCAACCCAUCUUCCUGGGAUAAGAAAAAAAAAAGACAUCUAAAAUGACACUUCCAAAAGAUUAAUAUUUUCAUUUCAACACUUCUGAAAGUAUUUCAAUGAAAUUGCUUUCAAAUGGUUUAUUUUAUAUUAGAUCAUUGAGAGAUAGAUUAAUGUCAUAAACGUAGGUACUAGCAAGCAAUAUUUUUGUCUCCUAUGUGCACAUAUUGUAUAUUUCAUAUCCUCUGAUAACUUGAAGUCACUAAUUUAAGUCAAAUUAGGGAAAGGGCAGUAUAGUAAUUGCAAUAUUUUCGGCUCCUUCUUGGUAACAAAUGCAGCUUCUUUUUUCCCCUCCACCCAUAUAUGAGUCUUCUUUUUCUUUGGCUAAGAUAUAAUAGCACUGCUCUACAUGAACAAAACUAUUUUUACUGGCUAUGUUAUUACUGAGAAAUGCAUUGGGAAAAUGUAAAAAUAUUUCACCUUUAUGUUGAAGAAAAUAAACACAGUGGAUUAGAUAAAAUUUGCACAGCUCUUGACAUGUGCCAUAUGUAACAUUUGGGAAACAUCAAAAAAGAGGCUCUGACUUCUUCGGAGAAUCAUAGACUCUGGCACUGGAGGGGGACUGAUCCACCACCCCACCUCACUCCAGCAAUUUGGGCAAACAAGACCUAAAGAAAUUGAAGGAUAAUCUAAAGUUUACAUUAUUAAUGGAAGAAACAAGACCAGAA
rnacentral:lncRNA from 1 species